rnacentral:misc_RNA from 1 species
GAUGAAGAACGUAGCAAAAUGCGAUAAGUAAUGUGAAUUGCAGAAUUCAGUGAAUCAUCGAAUCUUUGAACGCACAUUGCGCCCGCCAGUAUUCUGGCGGGCAUGCCUGUUCGAGCGUCAUUUCAUCCCUCAAGCACAGCUUGGUGUUGGGACUCGCGUUAAUUCGCGUUCCUCAAAUUGAUUGGCGGUCACGUCGAGCUUCCAUAGCGUAGUAGUAAAACCCUCGUUACUGGUAAUCGUCGCGGCCACGCCGUUAAACCCCAACUUCUGAAUGUUGACCUCGGAUCAGGUAGGAAUACCCGCUGAACUUAAGCAUAUCAAUAAGCGGAGGA